rnacentral:rRNA from 1 species
UACAGAGGUCUCGAGCGUUUGUUCGGAUUCAUUGGGCGUAAAGGGUGCGUAGGCGGCGGGGUAAGUCUGAUGUGAAAUCCCGGGGCUCAACUCCGGAACUGCAUUGGAUACUGCCUUGCUUGAGAGCUGGAGAGGAAACUGGAAUUUACGGUGUAGCAGUGAAAUGCGUAGAGAUCGUAAGGAAGACCAGUGGCGAAGGCGAGUUUCUGGACAGCUACUGACGCUGAGGCACGAAGGCCAGGGGAGCAAACGGG